GAUGAACGCUGGCGGCGUGCCUAAUACAUGCAAGUCGAGCGAAUGGAUGAGAGCUUGCUCUCAGAAGUUAGCGGCGGACGGGUGAGUAACACGUGGGUAACAUGCCUUUAAGACUGGGAUAACAUCGAGAAAUCGGUGCUAAUACCGGAUAAUUUAUUUGACCGCAUGGUCGAAUAAUGAAAGGUGUCGUAAGAUACAACUUCUGGAUGGACCCGGGGCGUAAUAGCUAGUUGGUGAGGGAAUGGCUCACCAAGGCAACGAUACGUAGCCGACCUGAGAGGGUGAUCGGCCACACUGUGAUUGAGACACGGCCCAGACUCCUACGGGAGGCAGCAGUAGGGAAUCUUCCCCAAUGGACGAAAGUCUAACGGAGCAACGCCGCGUGAGUGAUGAAGUCUUUCGGGUCGUAAAACUCUGUUGUUAGGGAAGAACAAGUACCGUUCGAAUAGGGCGGUACCUUGACGGUACCUAACCAGAAAGCCACGGCUAACUACGUGCCAGCAGCCGCCGUAA
rnacentral:rRNA from 1 species